rnacentral:rRNA from 1 species
UACGAAGGGGGCUAGCGUUGUUCGGAAUUACUGGGCGUAAAGCGUGCGCAGGCGGCUUCUCAAGUCAGGGGUGAAAGCCCAGAAGCUCAACUCUGGAAUUGCCUUUGAGACUGAGUGGCUUGAGUACGAGAGAGGUGAGUGGAAUUCCCAGUGUAGAGGUGAAAUUCGUAGAUAUUGGGAAGAACACCGGUGGCGAAGGCGGCUCACUGGCUCGUAACUGACGCUCAUGCACGACAGCGUGGGGAGUCAAACAG